UAGCUCAGUUGGUAGAGUGCUUGCCUCACAUGUACAAGGCCCUGGGUUCAAUUCCCAG
rfam:Ictidomys tridecemlineatus contig104270, whole genome shotgun sequence.